rnacentral:rRNA from 1 species
UACGGGGGGAGCAAGCGUUGUUCGGAUUUACUGGGCGUAAAGGGCGCGUAGGCGGCGUGACAAGUCACUUGUGAAAUCUCCGGGCUUAACUCGGAACGGUCAAGUGAUACUGUCGUGCUAGAGUACAGAAGGGGCAACUGGAAUUCUCGGUGUAGCGGUGAAAUGCGUAGAUAUCGAGAGGAACACCUGCGGCGAAGGCGGCCUUCUGGACAGCAUCUGACGCUGAGACGCGAAAGCGUGGGGAGCAAACAGG